rnacentral:lncRNA from 1 species
AUGCGAAAUCCUGGCUCCGCUGAAGUCAAUGAAAGUCUUGACAUCAACUUCAACAAGAAACUCAAAUCUAAGCAAAAAGUCAGACCAACGCRGACUGAACCGCUGGGUUUUUCCCCUGCAAACGGAAGCCGAACUCGAACAGGACCGAGGCCAAACGGCUCGGUUCACGCCGCACCGGCGCGAACCGCGAAACGCAGUCGUUUGACCCCCUGGGUUGUUGCACCCGUACGAGAAAUCCCCCACGGACUGCAGGAAAAGGAUACGCUGAGAAGGGAGCGGAUGGAAACCCAACCCAGAAGAGAGCUCAGCGGUGCACAGGAGCAUCUGCAAGUCCUGGGAUAA